AAUGGAACGUGUCAAGUAACCUGGAAAAAUGAACUCGUCGCUACUUCUGUUCGUAUUUGCUUUUAUCAUUGCAUUUUGAACAAAUUCCGUAAAUGCUUACGUGACCUCAUGCGUCCUAAAAGAAGAUUACUGUGCCACGAAAGAAAAAGCUAAACGCUGCGAUAAACUCAACGAAUGCUUUCCAGAAGACGAGCCCGACGACGUGAAAAUCGUGAAGUUUAAGCCUACGGUAGAACCAUUGCCUAGACGUUAUUACGGAAGGGGCUGCUUAGGGAAAAAGUAAUAGUUCAAAACAAAUUGUAGUAAAUGAAUAAAGCUCCCGCUUAUACAAAUCUCAAA